rnacentral:rRNA from 1 species
AUACGGAGGGUGCGAGCGUUAAUCGGAAUUACUGGGCGUAAAGCGUACGUAGGCGGUUGGUUAAGUUAGGUGUGAAAGCCCCGGGCUUAACCUGGGAACUGCAUUUAAAACUGGCGAACUAGAGUUGAGUAGAGGGGAGUGGAAUUUCAGGUGUAGCGGUGAAAUGCGUAGAGAUCUGAAGGAACACCAGUGGCGAAGGCGACUCCCUGGACUCGAACUGACGCUGAGGUACGAAAGCGUGGGUAGCAAACGGGAUUAGAUACCCUAGUAGUCC